rnacentral:tRNA from 1 species
GCGGCGGUAGUCUAGCCUGGUUAGGGCGGCCAAAAGCCCCCAGAGUAGGAUGGCGGCCUGCCAGGCCGCACCAUCGGCGCAGUGAGCCGUUGAUCCCGGGUUCAAAUCCCGGCCGCCGCA